rnacentral:rRNA from 1 species
UACGUAGGGGGCAAGCGUUGUCCGGAAUUAUUGGGCGUAAAGAGCGCGUAGGCGGUCCGGUAAGUCAGCUGUGAAAGUCAAGGGCUCAACCCUUGAAAGCCGGUUGAUACUGUCGGGCUUGAGUACGGAAGAGGCGAGUGGAAUUCCUGGUGUAGCGGUGAAAUGCGCAGAUAUCAGGAGGAACACCAAUUGCGAAGGCAGCUCGCUGGGACGUUACUGACGCUGAGGAGCGAAAGCGUGGGGAGCGAACAGG